UGCCAGCAGCCGCGGUAAGACGAACCGGACGAACGUUAUUCGGAAUUACUGGGCUUAAAGAGUGCGUAGGCGGCUUUGUAGGUGAGGUGUGAAAUCCCACGGCUCAACCGUGGAACUGCGCUUCAAACCACAAGGCUUGAGGGAGGCAGAGGUAAGCGGAACUGAUGGUGGAGCGGUGAAAUGCGUUGAUAUCAUCAGGAACACCAGUGGCGAAGGCGGCUUACUGGGCCUCUUCUGACGCUGAGGCACGAAAGCUAGGGUAGCGAACGGGAUUAGAUA
rnacentral:rRNA from 1 species